rnacentral:rRNA from 1 species
UACGUAGGGGGCUAGCGUUGUCCGGAAUCAUUGGGCGUAAAGAGCGUGUAGGCGGCCAGGUAGGUCGGUUGUGAAAACUGGAGGCUCAACCUUCAGACGUCGACCGAAACCCCCUGGCUAGAGUCCGGAAGAGGAGAGUGGAAUUCCUGGUGUAGCGGUGAAAUGCGCAGAUAUCAGGAAGAACACCCGUGGCGAAGGCGGCUCUCUGGGACGGUACUGACGCUGAGACGCGAAAGCGUGGGGAGCGAACAGG